AGUGAAGCGGGAAAAGCUCAAAUUUAAAAUCUGGCGGUUCUGCCGUCCGAGUUGUAAUUUAGAGAAGUGUUAUCCGCGCUGGACCGUGUACAAGUCUCCUGGAACGGAGCGUCAUAGAGGGUGAGAAUCCCGUCUUUGACACGGACUACCAGGGCAUUGUGAUGCGCUCUCGAAGAGUCGAGUUGUUUGGGAAUGCAGCUCAAAAUGGGUGGUAAAUUCCAUCUAAAGCUAAAUAUUGGGGAGAGACCGAUAGCGAACAAGUACCGUGAGGGAAAGAUGAAAAGAACUUUGGAAAGAGAGUUAAACAGUACGUGAAAUUGCUGAAAGGGAAACGCUUGAAGUCAGUCGCGUCGUUCGGGAUUCAGCUUUAGCUUCUGCUUUGUGCACUUCCUGUUYGACGGGUCAGCAUCAGUUUUGGCCGGUGGAUAAAGGCUCAGAGAAUGUGGCAUCUUCGGAUGUGUUAUAGCUCUGGGUCGCAUACAUCGGCUGGGACUGAGGGACUCAGCACGCCGCAAGGCCAGGUUUCGACCAUGUUCGUGCUUAGGAUGCUGGCAUAAUGGCUUUAAUCGACCCGUCUUGAAACACGGACCAAGGAGUCUAACAUGCCUGCGAGUGUUUGGGUGGAAAACCCGAGCGCGUAAUGAAAGUGAAAGUUGAGAUCCCUGUCGUGGGGAGCAUCGACGCCCGGAGCAGACCUUUUGUGACGCAUCCGCGGUAGAGCAUGUAUGUUGGGACCCGAAAGAUGGUGAACUAUGCCUGAAUAGGGUGAAGCCAGAGGAAACUCUGGUGGAGGCUCGUAG
rnacentral:rRNA from 1 species